CUGAGAGAGAAAGUGAGAGACUCACUGGUUGAAAGCUAAAAUGGCGGUUCCAGCUCUCAAUUAGUCUGCGUAAAGUAAUCAAAUUGGAGAAAGAUAUUGAUGGUAUCGCUCUGUUCCUGUUGUGUUCGCUGCACAGUCCAAUUUCUUAAAAGUUGUACAAACAGUUUGGAAGGUUGGGAGAGAUGGAAUUGAGGCAGGAACCAAUCUUGUGCCGGAUUCUGUGCCGAGAUCAAUUGCAAGGGUUUCUGUGACAGUAGUUGCAUUGGCUCUUUCACUCUUUGUACUCAAGUUUUCUUUGUGCUGGUAUGUUUCUAUUUCUCUCCUCCUGCAAGAACAGUAGAUCGAUGAUGUUAUUUUGACUUGCUUUUUCCAAAAUGUAUAUCAAGUAUGCUUGUGCUAUCAUUUGUGUGUUAGUGUUUUAAAAUCAACUUCUUUUUCUGCGUUACUAGUUUCUAUAAGGAAAUGAGAUGCAAUGUAGACAAGUAACGAAAUCUCAAUGCCUGGAAGGGAAGGGAGGCGUCGGUCACUUCCUUAAUUACAAUUUCUUCAAAAGAUUGACAGUUUUCACUUUUCACUUUCUAAAUUAAUUAAUUUUUCUUAGAAUUUGCGUAAAUAUCACUUAAAUUUUUAGAUAUGUGUGCGAUUACCACUAGAAUUUUCAAUUUUUACCUCAAUUUUACAAAGUGUAGCAAUUUACCUCAUACGUGUAAUUCCGUUAAAAUUUCCAUUAAAUAAAGUCGCAUGUUGAACAUGUAAUAUUUUUUUUAAGUGAUUUUCAUCAAUUCAUUAUUUUAUUUUUUGCCAAAUCAAUUUAUUAUAAUUAAAAACUUACAUUUUUUUAAACUAACAUAAUUAAAAAAAAGAAACAAAAUUCAACCUAAUUAUCCCACAAGCUCCCCUUCCCCCUUCUCCUUCAUGACAGCCCCCUUCCUAACCAAAAGGCCACAGCCCACAACAAUCCAUCCCUCCUAUCCCACACUCGCCCUAAAACUCCUCUCUCUCUCUCUCUCUCUCUCUCUCUCUCUCUCUCUCUCUCUCUCUCUUCCCCCCACUGCACAAACAAUGAGCCAAGCUCUGCAAAUCAAUAACAAAUUCUGCCAUAACUAGGU